UCUCAGGAAAAAAUAAUGGGACUACAUUUUGAACAUUGGACUUCAAUAGUGAUGCAAAAUCAAAAUCACCAUCACAGAAUUUUGAACAUGGUAGCCUGAUAAUAUAAUUCCCAAACAUCUCUUGAUGAAUAAAAAAUCACACCGAAAAUCCCACAAGUUGAAUUUCUUUGAUUGCUCUUUUAGCAGAAAUUAUAUGCCUGUUUUAAAAUCUAUUAAGUUUACUUGAAACUACAAGGCUAGCUGAUCUGUGUUCCUAGUAAAACAAUCCUUCAGAGUAAAUGUGUGCCCCACUAUUGACGGUUUCAUAUGCGUCGAGGUUUCUUUGCAGCCAAAGUUUCUUUACAUUUAACUCAGAAUUUACUAUUCUUUUUUGACCAACAAAAUAAUGAACCAUAAAUCAAUAAAUAUCAGUGGUAAAUGAUCUAGUGGCUAGCACGGUCUAUUUUCCAAAAUUGGAUGAAUAUGAAAUCAACACAAAAGCACAAAAAUGGUAAAAGAAAUGGCUGGAAAGGAGAGCCACCAAUUUUUGUGCGAAGCAUUUCAUAUCCCAGACUGCCUAACGUACAGAAAAACUAGCAUUCACUUAAACAUUGUCAUAAAGACAAACGCCAUGUCAAUGAGAAAGAUUGACAGGUAGCCUUAAAUUUGUGACUCAAAAUUUUUGCUAUUCCCAAGUGGUUCUGUACAUAGGUAGCAAAAUUUUAAGCAAGAAGAAAGACAGAUUUCAUAAAAAUUAAAUAAUGGUCAAAGUAACUUGAUAAUGUCAAGAAGGAAUCUUCAUCAUGACAUAGUGAAAUAAACUUAAGAACAUCAAUAUAGACAUCCUUUUUCAAAAUUUUCUCAUCAACCAGGAAAAUUUGUAAGCAACAAUUUACCAAAAUUGUGCUUAAAUUAGAAACAUCCAGUUCUUGCCAAAUUUCAAAAUCACGUAUUACAGAAUCAAGGAAGACUUCAACCAUUCCAGUCCCAGAUAUUGCAGAGUCUUGCUCCAAUUGUUGCUGCAUAGCUGCAAAAAUGACAUAUAUAAAAUAGUCAAAUAUGGUACUUUCAAAGAAAGAACUAAGUCUUCAUAAUUUAAACUUGAAAAGCAUAUGACCCCAACACAAGGAACUGUGCAAAAGCAACUUUAUUAAUGGUAUUCAGAUGAACCAUAUGUACAUGGUUUAGCUUCAGAGCAAAACAAAAAGAUCAAACUAACACAAAUUGAUGACACAAUUUGACAAUAAAAAAACUUGAUGCAGAUCAGGGACAAUCAAAUGAAGAAUUAAACAGAUAAAUAGGGACUAUUAGAAUCGAAAAUAACAAUUGAUGAGCAACAGCAAAUGUUUUGAAUAUUUAGGCUCUAAACAACAGAAGAAUCAGAUGCACCAUAGUAUGAAUACAAACACAUAAGUUGGAACUUGGAAGGACCUCAAUGAAACAUCAGAACCCUCCCUUAUUUUUUUAUUUUUUAUUUUUUUGUACCAUGGAAUGCAAAGCCUCAAAAUCUACAAAAAUCACACCUACAAAAUUCAGUAGCUGUAAGAGUGGCAAAAUCAAACUGUAGGACUGCACCACCACCGAAAGCCGCCCCCCCAACCCCCCCCACAAGCCAGCCAAUCUGCUGGCUGACAUCCUCAUGGUAAGUAUGGGUUACAAGGAAAAUCUGUGGGAACCAAUAAUGUGCCAAAUAUCAAAAUGAAGGCUAUAAGAUGGGCCAAGCAUAUGAAUCCAUUUAUACAAUAUGUGGCAGUCAUUUAUCACUUCCAUGUUAGAUGUACUGAGAAUCCACUGCGGUCCAUGCUGAAGACAUCUAGCACCAGCAAAUAAAACCUGAUCAUAAUGAUCUUUACAUGUAGCUAUGAACCCUCUACCUUGAAGGGCCAACAUUGGCAAGAAUCAUGUGCCUCAAUAUUUGACAAGCAUCCAGGCAAAGCCUCUCAAUUUGGCUACAGUGUCCCAUAUACAGAUCAACUUGAUUAAUUUGAAGCAAGGUUUUAAUUUUUGCCACCUACACCAGUCUAUUAGCAAAUUUGAGAGAGAAAGGAAUCAUAUGUAGUUAUCUAGAAGUGAUAAAAUGAGUCGAUGAUCAGUCUCUCUUCUUGAAGAUAAUUCGAUGUUUCUGAUAAGUUUUGUAGUCCAAUAUUCACCAACACGUUACUAUUGCAUACUACAGACUUCAUACUUCAAUAUGAGCAGAGCACUGUAUCCUAAGAUUUCCAUAAGUUUUGGUGGCUGUCAUAAUGUUGAAGUUCACAGUUAAACAUCAUAGUUGCCAGCAGCAGAGUUGAAAGGUCAUUCUAACUCUCCUUAUGCACAUGCAAACAAAAGCUGGGAAAUUUAUGCUUGGAACAUUAUUUACAUAUCGCAAUACAAGAGAGGUUUUCCCAACAUGAUCUACAGAAAACAAACACCAAACACAUUAUCAGUUACCGAGAACUGAAAGAAAAUUGACAAAAUUUUGGGUACCAACAUAACAUACAAAUAUAGAUCCCAUAGCCAAAUAAAGAUUAAAGGCAGGGAGGACACUAACAAAAAGGACCCUUAAAGCAGAACAGUUUGACAAUUUAAGUAAAGGUUAAUCUGUUUAUAAAAAAGAAAAAUAAAGUCUCCAGUCCAGAUGGCGCAUGAAAAGAAUCUAUAAUGGAAAUGAAUCAAAGGUAAUCUAGUAAAUUAUUAGCUUAUUACUAUAAACAGAUUGCUGCUUAAAUGAAUCACAUAGAGCCAAGAAGACUUCAAAAAAUUAAACAGGAAAGCAUCCCAAAAUUAAGUUUUCUUUUAACAAGUUAUAAUUUUAACAAGAAAAAAAAAUAAAUCAAAAUUUGCACAGGAAAUAAAAACAAAUUUGAAGCUGGGGACAGAAACAUCAUUAUGAUAUGUAUCCUAUAAUAAAUUUACUAUUUAUUAUUUACAGAAUUUCUUAGUAAUGCAGCUUUCGACCUUUGAAUGCACAAUAUGCAAAAGCUGUAUUUGCUUCAGUAUCACCAUGCACAUCAAACCAAUGAUGGUUAACAGCAACCAGAGACAGCCCAUACAUCCUCCAAUAUCCCCACAACGCCAAUCAAGGCACUCCACCAUGUCGACACAUCCAUUAGUUUACCAACUCAACAUAUUAAACUUCAUCAAGAAACUUGCCAUCAGCUUCCUCCCAUCCAUUAAGAGUUCAUAUUUACCAAACCCAACCAUGAUAACGUGACAUCCUGGUAGGCCACACAUACCAUAGAUCUCACCUUGAAUGAGUUAAGUGUUAAAAUAAAUUCCCGAUAAACUGCUCCACCAAAACCUAUCAAAUUUCUAAUUUUUUCCACAAAAAUUGUCAACAUUUCAAAAUCUAACUAUAGCAAGAGGAAACCCUGAUUGAAUUCAAUAUUCAAAUAUAAUUAGUGACAUGUACACAAGGAAAGAGACAUAUAAUCUCCGAGAAGUGGAAAACCAGAUAGGAUCGUCCCAAGGAGCAGAUUAAUGUAUGCAGAUGAGAUGAUUCGGAAAGAAAGAUUGCAAGGAGAAAGAGGUUACCAUCGCGGAAAAGAACGAGCUUGAAGGUGAGAUCUGGGGGCCUUGAGCUCAUCCUAGUACUCCUAUUGGGAAGGGCAUUCGAAAGGAACGCAAAGACGUCCUGACCUCAGAAGGUGAGAUUGAUUCAAAGGUCUCUCAUAUCUUUCUUCUAAUACGGAUGGUCUACGAAUUAAGUUUACACUAAUAUCAGCAACUAGUUUUCGGGGACUCUCUUAUAUAAAGCCCCCUUCAGAUGUAAAAAUUAUAUUGGGGGUUGUUUAUAUAAAUGUUAUAGGGCUUAUUCUGUGAAAAUACUUAUUUCAUGGUAAGGAUAGCAACAAAUCGAAUAUGGGAUGGAUCGGCAAAUAUCCAUACCCGUCUUGUAAUUAAAACUAUACCUAUAUCUACUCCAUACCCAUUUUAGGUUGGGUCAGAUCAGGUUCGAUCAAGUAGAGAUGUAGGUCGGAUCGGAUUGGAUAGAUAAGAGGAGUCAAGUCCGAUUUGAUCGGAUAAAUGUAAAUAUUAUAAAAAAUUAUAAUUUUGAAAGGGGAUACAGAUUAAGAUUAUAUUGGGUUAGAUUCGGGAUAGGAAAUACUAUUAUCCAUACCUGAUCCGAAUUUGCUUCGGAUAAUUUUUCUAUAACCCAUACCCGUCCUAGGUUCUAAUUGGGUUGGACGAAAUCCAUCCCAUUCGGAUCGGAUCGGAUCAAAUACUCGAUAGGUCGACUAAAAUUACCAUCCCUAUUUUACAGGAGAACAUUAAACUAGGACCUUUGUUUACCAAAACUAAUCUAAAUAACAAUAUAAAUAACAAAGGCAUUUUUUGUCAUUUUCAGUAUCAUCAAGCAAUCACAAACAUAGAUGGUGGACCUGGCUUCAUUUUACUGCACGAACAACUACAAAACAUUGCAAAUUAAAAUAACUGCAGGAAUGUUCGGCGGUGCAGUAAUAGUUUCGCUACUUCAAUUAACAAAAACUAAAAAUAAGCAUCCAGUGAUAUACCUGUAAUUGAUCUUAUGAAUCAUUGCAUACCAAGGCUAUAACCAGCAUUUCGGCGGGGGUUCUUUGUCAGGCUCAUCAUCUAUAAUAGGAACCCUUUUUCUUGGUUGGGCAGGUGACAUACCUUGGCACCAUUUAUCUUCUGUUGCAAUAGUCCUGCAAAAGUGACAGAUGAGUAUGCAGUAGUUCUCUCUCCAAAGAAUAAGGUGUGAAUGCUGCAACGAUGAAGGCAUAUAGAAUCCAUUUAGUAAAUUUUUUAAAGAAAAUGCCACACAUGAAAUCUCAGGAAAAAUAAUUGGACUACAUUUUGAACAUUGGACUUCGAUAGUGAUGCAAAAUCAAAAUCAACAUCACAGAAUUUUGAACACCCUAGACUGAUAAUAUACUUCCCAAACACCUCUUGCUGAAUAAAAAAUCACACCCAAAAUCUCACAAGUUGAAUUUCUUUGAUUGCUCUUUUAGCAGAAAUUAUAUGCCUGUUUUAAAAUCCAUUAAGUUUACUUGAAACUACAAGACUAGCUGAUCUGUGUUCCUAGUAAAAUAAUCCUACAGAGUAAACGCUUGCCCCACUAUAGACGGUUUCGUAUGAGAUGAGGUUUCUUUGCAGCCAAGAUUUCUUUACAUUUAACUCAGAAUUUACUAUUCUUUCUGACCAACAAAAUACUGAACCAUAAAUCAUUAAAUAUCAGUACUAGAUGAUCUAGUGGCUAGCACCGUCUAUUUUCCAAAAUUGGAUGAAUAUGAAAUCAACAUAAAAGCACAAAAAAUGGUAAAAAAAAAUAGGCUGGAAAGGACAAAUUCAGCCACCAAUUUUUGUGCGAAGUACUUCAGAUCCCAGACUGCCUAAUGUACAGAAAAACUAG
rnacentral:lncRNA from 1 species